GCGGCGUGCCUAAUACAUGCAAGUCGUACGCUUCUUUUUCCACCGGAGCUUGCUCCACCGGAAAAAGAAGAGUGGCGAACGGGUGAGUAACACGUGGGUAACCUGCCCAUCAGAAGGGGAUAACACUUGGAAACAGGUGCUAAUACCGUAUAACAAUCGAAACCGCAUGGUUUUGAUUUGAAAGGCGCUUUCGGGUGUCGCUGAUGGAUGGACCCGCGGUGCAUUAGCUAGUUGGUGAGGUAACGGCUCACCAAGGCCACGAUGCAUAGCCGACCUGAGAGGGUGAUCGGCCACAUUGGGACUGAGACACGGCCCAAACUCCUACGGGAGGCAGCAGUAGGGAAUCUUCGGCAAUGGACGAAAGUCUGACCGAGCAACGCCGCGUGAGUGAAGAAGGUUUUCGGAUCGUAAAACUCUGUUGUUAGAGAAGAAUAAGGAUGAGAGUAACUGUUCAUCCCUUGACGGUAUCUAACCAGAAAGCCACGGCUAACUACGUGCCAGCAGCCGCGGUAAUACGUAGGUGGCAAGCGUUGUCCGGAUUUAUUGGGCGUAAAGCGAGCGCAGGCGGUUUCUUAAGUCUGAUGUGAAAGCCCCCGGCUCAACCGGGGAGGGUCAUUGGAAACUGGGAGACUUGAGUGCAGAAGAGGAGAGUGGAAUUCCAUGUGUAGCGGUGAAAUGCGUAGAUAUAUGGAGGAACACCAGUGGCGAAGGCGGCUCUCUGGUCUGUAACUGACGCUGAGGCUCGAAAGCGUGGGGAGCAAACAGGAUUAGAUACCCUGGUAGUCCACGCCGUAAACGAUGAGUGCUAAGUGUUGGAGGGUUUCCGCCCUUCAGUGCUGCAGCUAACGCAUUAAGCACUCCGCCUGGGGAGUACGACCGCAAGGUUGAAACUCAAAGGAAUUGACGGGGGCCCGCACAAGCGGUGGAGCAUGUGGUUUAAUUCGAAGCAACGCGAAGAACCUUACCAGGUCUUGACAUCCUUUGACCACUCUAGAGAUAGAGCUUCCCCUUCGGGGGCAAAGUGACAGGUGGUGCAUGGUUGUCGUCAGCUCGUGUCGUGAGAUGUUGGGUUAAGUCCCGCAACGAGCGCAACCCUUAUUGUUAGUUGCCAUCAUUUAGUUGGGCACUCUAGCAAGACUGCCGGUGACAAACCGGAGGAAGGUGGGGAUGACGUCAAAUCAUCAUGCCCCUUAUGACCUGGGCUACACACGUGCUACAAUGGGAAGUACAACGAGUCGCGAAGUCGCGAGGCUAAGCUAAUCUCUUAAAGCUUCUCUCAGUUCGGAUUGUAGGCUGCAACUCGCCUACAUGAAGCCGGAAUCGCUAGUAAUCGCGGAUCAGCACGCCGCGGUGAAUACGUUCCCGGGCCUUGUACACACCGCCCGUCACACCACGAGAGUUUGUAACACCCGAAGUCGGUGAGGUAACCUUUUGGAGCCAGCCGCCUAAGGUGGGAUAGAUGAUUGGGG
rnacentral:rRNA from 1 species